rnacentral:sRNA from 1 species
GCUGGGUGCAGUGGUGCACACCUGUAAUCCCAGCAGCUUGGGAGGCUGAGGCAGGAGGAUCCCAAGUCCAAAGUCAGCCUCAGCAAUUUAGUGAAGUACUAAGCAACUCAGUGAGACCCUGUCUCUA